UGGGGAAUAUUGGACAAUGGGCGGAAGCCUGAUCCAGCCAUGCCGCGUGUGUGAAGAAGGCCUUUUGGUUGUAAAGCACUUUAAGCGAGGAGGAGGCUACUUGGAUUAAUACUCUAGGAUAGUGGACGUUACUCGCAGAAUAAGCACCGGCUAACUCUGUGCCAGCAGCCGCGGUAAUACAGAGGGUGCGAGCGUUAAUCGGAUUUACUGGGCGUAAAGCGUGCGUAGGCGGCUUCUUAAGUCGGAUGUGAAAUCCCUGAGCUUAACUUAGGAAAUGCAUUCGAUACUGGGAAGCUAGAGUAUGGGAGAGGAUGGUAGAAUUCCAGGUGUAGCGGUGAAAUGCGUAGAGAUCUGGAGGAAUACCGAUGGCGAAGGCAGCCAUCUCGCCUAAUACUGACGCUGAGGUACGAAAGCAUGGGGAGCAAACAGG
rnacentral:rRNA from 1 species